UAGAGAUGGCCGGAGUCCCUUAA
rnacentral:misc_RNA from 1 species